AGCCCUUUCACCCCCUUCAUCCUCUUCACCCCCAGCAUCCCCCUGGGCCCUGCCCAGUUCACCCCUCCUGCCCCGGCCAUCACCAUCUCCCAGACAACGAGGAGAGCAGAGCAUUUUACUUCUGGCCAAGGCUGAACGUUGCCCUCUCCAGAACGUGGCAGCUGCUGAGGUCUGCAGUCCAGCAGCACUCAAACCACUGCCUGGGAUCACUUUGGUGCUAGCAGCCUGUCCGGAGUAACUCCAGGGAGACAAGGCAGUUCAGAUGCAGGAUUUUCCUAUCUAUGGGCUCGUGUUUGGAAUUCCCACUGACACGAACAUGCUUCCUGCAUAUUUAAAUCCAUGGAGUGUGGGCAGCAACAGUCAACGAGGGAAGAGGAAAGGAAGCAUUAAUGACUGUCUUGGAGUUGUUUUCCUCCUGUUGUGAAGAGCUUGUACCACAUCAAGUCAGUUAAAUAAAUACAGCCACAGAAGGAACAUUUUUCCCUGGAACAUUCGCCACUUGUCGUGCUCUCUCCCCUCUGCUCAGCCAGAUUGCACGUUCAGCUCCCAGUGCUCUGGGAAGGUUGUUCCCUCCAGAAGGGCUGCAGGGAGUGAUCAGGGGAGGGCAUGAUUUGGAGAACAGCAAUUCCCAAGAGCUCCCUGUCUUUUAAAGCAAACAAACCAUGGCAAUCAUGGGUUAAAAAAUCCAACCUACUGAGCUUUCCAUCCGAGCUGGGUUAAGUUUUGUGGUAUCUUGGGGUGUUGAGAAUUUUUGCUCAAACUUCCUUCUCUCUUCAGCUUCACUGCUUGAAACUCAGGUGCAGGUUGAAACAAGUUUCAGACAUGAAAGUUGUGAUCAGCUCCAGCUGCUGCUUUAAAGUCACUGACUUUCAUAAAUUUUCCUCAACAAACCCAGUGUUGGACUUGUCACAUAAUUUUUAUUUAGAAGCUCCCAAGCAUUUGGAAAAUCUUGCACCUCUGAUCUCCACGAGGUUUUUCAGAUCUUGACAGACCCACUGGUCAAUCUGAGCAAAUAAAUAGUGUUUGAGGAGGACCCCGAGACCAGCUUUAAUUGUGACUUCAUUAGAGUAGCAGUGGAUAUAUGUGAGCAUAUCUCCAUCAGCAGCUUAGCAGGGCUUUUAAUUUAAUUGCCUUUAAUUUGCUUUAAAGCUGUGGUGAUUCUGGACCAGUCCACAAACUAUGCAGAGAGCAAGCAGACUACAC